AGCCACAUCCUGUUGAAAUGCUGGUUCCUGUACGAUCACUGAAGUUAAGCAAUGUUGAGCCUGGUCAGUACCUAGAUGGAUGAUCACUUGGGAAUACCAAGUGCUGUAA